UGAAGACAGUGGAGGACAAGUUAUC
rnacentral:piRNA from 1 species